rnacentral:lncRNA from 1 species
GGAAGGAUAGUGUUUUUUUUUUUUUAAAUUGUGCUUUAUUGAUUUGCCUCUUUCUCCCCCCUCCCCCCUUUUUUUAGUCUGGCUCUCCCAAAAUUGCCCAGGCUGGCCUGUAACUCCUAGCCUCAAGGGAUCCUCUUGCUUCAGCCUUCACAGUAGCUGUGACUACUGGCAUGGGCCUCCAUGUUCAGGACUUUUGCCCAUUUUUAGACUUGAAAUUUAAUGUAAAUGUAAUACUGACUUGGAAGAACUUUAGAUGUAUGAAAACUCCUUCUGUGAUAUGUGUUGCGAAUAUUUCCUCCAGUGUCAAUUACCUUUAACUUUGUUUGCAAUGUAUUUUGGUAUUUAGGAGUCAAAUACAUCACAUUUUCCCCUUAGAAUUUCUGCCUGUGGUUUUUAUGUGAGAGGAGCAGUGCAUAUUCCUUUUCACACAGGCUGUUUAAUUCCACUUUCGUGGGCAUGGACUGGGACAAAGCUUCUCUCCAUGACACCAUCCCUUUCUCUGUCCACUAUUAAAGAGUGCCCACCUUCAAUUCUAGAAGCUUAGGUAAUGAGUUAUCUGUAGACGAUGGGUGAUAGUGGGUUUUGAUAGUAGUGGUGAGCUGGGCAGCAUCCCCAGGUGGACAGAUAAGCGUCACCCCAGAUGUGAUAGUUACAGAAAGAUGUGCCAAUCCUUGAUGGUUGGUGGAGCUCACAGGACAGUAUUUGGAGCAAGUUUCUCAUGAAGAGAACAUCCCAUUCCUUGCUCGGAACUGGAGAAUGUGG